CUACGAACUGUUUUAGCGGCGGACGGGUGAGUAACGCGUGAGCAACCUUUCCCAGACAGGGGAAUAACACACCGAAAGGUGUACUAAUACCGCAUAAGACCACGGGAUCACAUGGUUCUGAGGUAAAAGAUUUAUCGGUUUGGGGUGGGCUCGCGUCCGAUUAGGUAGUUGGUGAGGUAACGGCCCACCAAGCCGACGAUCGGUAGCCGACCUGAGAGGGUGAUCGGCCACAUUGGGACUGAGACACGGCCCAA
rnacentral:rRNA from 1 species